rnacentral:rRNA from 1 species
CGUGUAGGCGGCCUCGUUAGUCCGCUGUGAAAGUCCAGGGCUCAACCCUGGAAUGCCGGUGGAUACUGCGAGGCUAGAGUCCGGAAGGGGCGAGUGGAAUUCCUGGUGUAGCGGUGAAAUGCGCAGAUAUCAGGAGGAACACCAAUGGCGAAGGCAGCUCGCUGGGACGUGACUGACGCUGAGACGCGAAAGCGUGGGGAGCAAACAGGAUUAGAUACCCUGGUAGUCCACGCUGUAAACGAUGGCAACUAGAUGUGGGGGGUGUCGACUCCCCCCGUGUCGAAGCUAACGCAUUAAGUUGCCCGCCUGAGGAGUACGGCCGCAAGGCUAAA